rnacentral:rRNA from 1 species
GACGUAGGGCGCGAGCGUUGUCCGGAUUUAUUGGGCGUAAAGAGCUCGUAGGCGGCUUGUCGCGUCGACCGUGAAAACCCGGGGCUCAACCCCGGGCCUGCAGCCGAUACGGGCAGACUAGAGUUCGGCAGGGGAGACUGGAAUUCCUGGUGUAGCGGUGAAAUGCGCAGAUAUCAGGAGGAACACCGGUGGCGAAGGCGGGUCUCUGGGCCGAUACUGACGCUGAGGAGCGAAAGCGUGGGGAGCGAACAGG